GGGGAGAGUGCAGGAUCUUGGGCUGUGGCCACUGGCGCCCUGGGCUCUGGGGCCUGCACCAUGGGAAUCGUGCUCCCUGGCCCCGCAGCCCCCU
rnacentral:pre_miRNA from 1 species